rnacentral:lncRNA from 1 species
GAGCUGUGAUGGUUUCCCGCGCCUCAAGUUUGAAACAACAAUGAUGAGUAGGGAAUGGGUGUCGGAUAUAGAGAUAAGAUGUGGGUACGACUGCAAUUUCUUCUAUAAGUUGAAGCAAUUUGUGAAAGUGGUGAGCUGCGUAUCUCGUGUUUCUCUCCAUAUACACUUGAUGAGGGAAAAUAAUUGGGGAGAAGGAUAUGUGGGAGAUGAUGGUUUGGGUGUAGCUGCGCUGGAGAACUUGACGCUGCAGGGUAUUGAAGUCACCUCAGCUUUUGUGGAUGACUUAUUGCAGAGUUGUCGCCCCAACUUCAUAUACCUUGGCAUAUUGGAAGUGAAUGUGAGAGAGCUGAAACAGCUGCGGCGUCUGCCAUGGA